rnacentral:rRNA from 1 species
GGCGCUGGUGGGAUACUACCCUAGCUGUGUUGGCUUUCUAACCCGCACCACUUAUCGUGGUGGGAGACAGUGUCAAGCGGGCAGUUUGACUGGGGCGGUCGCCUCCUAAAAGGUAACGGAGGCGCUCCAAGGUUCCCUCAGAAUGGUUGGAAAUCAUUCAUAGAGUGUAAAGGCAUAAGGGAGCUUGACUGCGAGACCUACAA